GGCUCCAGGAUUUGAUUUGAUUUGCAAAUUUAGGAUUUUAACUCUAUAAUGAUAAAAUGGAUCGGAGGGCUAAAGUUAGAGAACUGUUAAAUCUAACUAAUAAUUUAUAGAUCGAAAUAAGAAUGUUGAGGAACAAAAGUUGCAUCUUGUAUACGUGUGUCUGUCAGAUUUCUCCAUCCCAUAGUUCCUCAAGUGUCUUGAAAGGGCCUUUAUCUGAGAUGUAGUCUACUCCGCUGGAUCCUCUGCUCUGAGGAAUCUCACUGAUUUUCUUUAAUUCUUCCUCACUCAAUGUCCAGUUGAAUAUGUCAAGGUUUUCUUUCAUC
rnacentral:misc_RNA from 1 species